rnacentral:rRNA from 1 species
GUAGGUGGCAAGCGUUGUCCGGAAUUAUUGGGCGUAAAGCGCGCGCAGGCGGUCCUUUAAGUCUGAUGUGAAAGCCCACGGCUCAACCGUGGAGGGUCAUUGGAAACUGGGGGACUUGAGUACAGAAGAGGAAAGCGGAAUUCCAAGUGUAGCGGUGAAAUGCGUAGAGAUUUGGAGGAACACCAGUGGCGAAGGCGGCUUUCUGGUCUGUAACUGACGCUGAGGCGCGAAAGCGUGGGGAGCAAACAGGAUUAGAUACCCUGGUAGUCCACGCCGUAAACGAUGAGUGCUAAGUGUUAGGGGGUUUCCCGCCCCCUUAGUGCUGCAGCUAACGCAUUAAGCACUCCGCCUGGGGAGUACGCCGCAGGCUG